AAAUAUAAGUACAACAAUAAGUAAGCAAAUUCUGCAGGAUCUAUAUACUACCAAGUAUCAACAUCGUGGUUUCCAUAGAAACAUAUCUGCCUAAACACGCUUUGCUUUGGGUACAUCGGCUCUUCCUUUUUUUAAGCUAAAGCCUAGGGAUUUUGUUUUAAUUAAUAAAUUAUCUAGUGAAAACUAUAACAAUAGUUCCAAGUAAUUAUAAUUGGUUAAUGAUUUGCUUUAUCAAAUUGAAUAAUAAUAAUAAAACGAAUGGAACUGAAAAAUAAUUACCAAGGUAGGUACAUAGACAAAGCAUUUAGUGUAAGUAAUUAUUUUCUAUUUAUGUAGGUAUCUAACAAUAAUUUGCAAUGACACAUACAUGCACACAUUUAUCAUUGCCGAUAAUACCUAAUUUAUAAUAGAUAACAAUAAUUCAAUAAUUGAUUGAAGAUUUGUAGUCCUGUAUUUCACAUUUUCAACUGCCUUAGUUUAGAAAAAAGUAAGGUUUUAACUUAGGUACCUAUGUCGUAAAUAUCUCGCGGAGUCGUUUAAAAAAAUUUAAAU